GACGAAGGGGGCUAGCGUUGUUCGGAAUUACUGGGCGUAAAGCGCGUGUAGGCGGUUAUCCAAGUCGGGUGUGAAAGCCUUGAGCUUAACUCAAGAAAUGCACUCGGUACUGGGUGACUAGAGGACCGGAGAGGAUAGUGGAAUUCCCAGUGUAGUGGUGAAAUACGUAGAGAUUGGGAAGAACACCAGUGGCGAAGGCGGCUAUCUGGACGGUUUCUGACGCUAAGACGCGAAAGCGUGGGGAGCAAACAGG
rnacentral:rRNA from 2 species